CAGGGAAGAAAAAAAUGACGGUACCUGAGGAAUAAGCAUCGGCUAACUCCGUGCCAGCAGCCGCGGUAAUACGGAGGAUGCAAGCGUUAUCCGGAAUGAUUGGGCGUAAAGGGUCCGCAGGUGGCUAUGUAAGUCUGCUGUUAAAGAAUGAGGCUUAACCUCAUCAGAGCAGUGGAAACUACACAGCUAGAGUGCGUUCGGGGUAGAGGGAAUUCCUGGUGUAGCGGUGAAAUGCGUAGAUAUCAGGAAGAACACCAGUGGCGAAAGCGCUCUACUAGGCCGCAACUGACACUGAGGGACGAAAGCU
rnacentral:rRNA from 1 species